rnacentral:rRNA from 1 species
UACGUAGGAGACGAGCGUUGUUCGGAUUCACUGGGCGUAAAGGGUGCGUAGGCGGUUGGGUAAGUCUGUCGUGAAAUCUCCGAGCCUAACUCGGAAACUGCGUCGGAUACUAUUCAACUCGAGGAAUGGAGGGGAGACUGGAAUUCUCGGUGUAGCAGUGAAAUGCGUAGAUAUCGAGAGGAACACCAGUGGCGAAGGCGAGUCUCUGGACAUUUCCUGACGCUGAGGCACGAAAGCCAGGGGAGCAAACGGG